rnacentral:rRNA from 1 species
AUUGAACGCUGGCGGCAUGCCUUACACAUGCAAGUCGAACGGCAGCACGGGUGCUUGCACCUGGUGGCGAGUGGCGAACGGGUGAGUAAUACAUCGGAACGUACCUUAUCGUGGGGGAUAACGCAGCGAAAGCUGUGCUAAUACCGCAUACGCCCUGAGGGGGAAAGCGGGGGAUCGCAAGACCUCGCGCGAUUAGAGCGGCCGAUGCCUGAUUAGCUAGUUGGUGGGGUAAAAGCCCACCAAGGCGACGAGCAGUAGCUGGUCUGAGAGGACGAACAGGCACACUGGGACUGAGACACGGCCCAGACUCCUACGGGAGGCAGCAGUGGGGAAUUUUGGACAAUGGGGGCAACCCUGAUCCAGCAAUGCCGCGUGAGUGAAGAAGGCCUUCGGGUUGUAAAGCUCUUUUGUCAGGGAAGAAACACCGGCUCUAACACAGUCCGGGAAUGACGGUACCUGAAGAAUAAGCACCGGCUAACUACGUGCCAGCCGCCGCAGUAA